GGCCCCGUAGUUCAACGGAUAGAAUAGAAGUUUCCUAAACUUUAGAUAGUGGUUCGAUUCCACUCGGGGCUACAA
rnacentral:tRNA from 3 species